rnacentral:rRNA from 1 species
CCCAGACUCCUACGGGAGGCAGCAGUGGGGAAUAUUGCACAAUGGGGGGAACCCUGAUGCAGCGACGCCGCGUGGGUGAAGGAGUACUUCGGUACGUAAAGCCCUAUCAGCAGGAAAGAAAAUGACGGUACCUGACUAAGAAGCCCCGGCUAACUACGUGCCAGCAGCCGCGGUAAUACGUAGGGGGCAAGCGUUAUCCGGAUUUACUGGGUGUAAAGGGAGCGUAGACGGCAGUGCAAGUCCGGAGUGAAAGCCCGGGGCUCAACCCUGGGACUGCUCUGGAAACUGUAAAGCUGGAGUGCGGGAGGGGCAGGCGGAAUUCCUGGUGUAGCGGUGAAAUGCGUAGAUAUCAGGAGGAACACCGGCGGCGAAGGCGGCCUGCUGGACCGUAACUGACGUUGAGGCUCGAAAGCGUGGGGAGCAAACAGGAUUAGAUACCCGCGUAU